UACGGAGGGUGCAAGCGUUGUCCGGAUUUAUUGGGUUUAAAGGGUGCGUAGGCGGCUAAUUAAGUCAGUGGUGAAAUCCGGCAGCUCAACUGUCGAACCGCCAAUGAUACUGAAUAGCUUGAGUACAAACGAGGUAUAUGGAAUUUAUGGUGUAGCGGUGAAAUGCAUAGAUACCAUAAAGAACUCCGAUAGCGAAGGCAGUAUACUAGAUUGUAACUGACGCUGAGGCACGAAAGCAUGGGGAUCAAACAGG
rnacentral:rRNA from 1 species